rnacentral:lncRNA from 1 species
CAGGAAUCCAAAGAUCCAAAUUCGUGCUGCUUUCCUUACUGCAAUGAUGUUUCCAGUCCCAUCUUCUCAUAUUUGUCAUUUAUUCAUUUUCCUUUUCUGUCACCUCCGAGUUUUCUCCACAAGUGGAUUAAAAGGAACAGUCUUAUUUUGUCUCUGUGUGGGUUUUAUAAUGCUCUCUCAUAUGUCCACAAAUCCAACCAUCAUGUUUUCGAGCAGACACUCCGUCCUGUCAUUCCGGUGGAAUACAGUCUAAAUGUCCACUCGUUUACUUUCCAGACCCGCUGCCUCAUAAUUAGUCUUCCAGGAGGAUAACAGCCCUUUCUGAUUUACGAUUCCAGCCUGAUAUCCAAGCGGCUCUUCCUCCCUAGACCAUCCAUCUUGCAGCCGAGAUCUGCCUACGCAACGGAGCAUUUCUUACUGCGUCACUGAGAGAGACUCACUUGUUUCCAAAUCUUUCACAGACAUAUAAUUUUUUCCACACAGUUCAUUUUCACUCCCACUUGUAAAUUAGUCGUCGAGACGGUUUUUUGAGGGGGAGGGUUAUCAGGUACUCACAUAAAAAUAAAAUAAAAAAGUCUCCCCCCCCUCGUACCGUCCACAUACCAAAAUGUCGGCAGUUCUCUGGUGUUAUCUCUGUUCCUUCUGUCCUUCGUCCUUCCGUCUCGAUCUUCUUCACUCAGUGGUAAAUUUAUUAGCAGAUAAAAGCAUUCCUGAUUUCUCUUGAAGCCUGUGCGUUUAUUGGUCCAAUUCUUUUCUUCUUUUUAAACAUCGCAGCCAGGCUUGCUCCUGAAAGAAGCUGGCAGGGAGCUCCAAGCUUGCCCGAGGGCUUUCCACCUAGUGCCUCUCACCCCCUCGUUCAUCCGAACUCGGGGGUGAUUUAUGGCAACAGCAGGUGAGGCAGCGUCUUUUCCUUCC